rnacentral:rRNA from 1 species
CGGGUGAGUAACACAAGGGUAAUCUACCCUUAAAUUAGGGAUAACCUUGCGAAAGCGAAGCUAAUACCUAAUAAGACUACGAUCUUCUAGGGGAUUGUAGGAAAAGAUGGCCUCUGUUUCAUGCUAUCGUUUAAGGAGGAGCCCUUGCACUAUUAGCUUGUUGGCGGGUAACGGCCCACCAAGGCUACGAUGGUUAGCUGGUCUGAGAGGAUGACCAGCCACACUGGAACUGAGACACGGUCCAG